GGUGGCUCAUUGGUAGAGUGCUUGCCUUGUAUGCAUGAGGCCCUGGGUUCGAUUCCUCAGUACCA
rnacentral:tRNA from 1 species